CGGACCGAAUAGCGCCGUGGCCAGGUAUUGUGUCAAGCCCGACCCGCUCGCUUCGUGCGACUCGUGCGUGUAUUGCGCAGAGACAAGCGUCUCACCUCCACUCCAACGCUUCAAUGAAACACUGGUGGCAGCGACCAUGAGAGGCAUCGAUGAAAAGGCCUCCGGAGGUCCCACUCGACAUCAUCAUCCAUGAAGACUUCACCCAGCAUUCGAAGGAUAAAGUGUAGAAGCGCAAGUUAAAAGUCGUCAAGAGCACUGGUGAGCCGCCAUUUCUAUCCCUAGGUCGCCUCCAGAACUAGAUCUGAAAGAGUCCACACUUUUUCUGUCACGUCGUAUUUGACUCUCGUUUUGUCUGUGCAUUUGGGUCUUUUGGUCGAGAGGAAAAGACGACAUUACUUGGUCCGUGUUUUGUAUCCGCCGGAUUAGACCCCGAGCGAUGCCGACCUACCAUUAUUCCCGGAUUAGACCCCGUGGACACCGAUCCUCUCGACAUGACCAGAUUGAAUGCCCGGACGCGAUUCGUUUUGGUUUCGGAUAUCCCGCGUCGAGUUGUUUCAAACCUCGAAAGGCUUCGUUCAGUGAAGUUUUGUUUUGUACACUCGUCUUUCGGGUGGCGUCAUUGACUGGGACCUCCUCGUGAUCCAUUACUCAGGCUUCUUGUUCUGUUAAGGACCCAACUGCUGCACCGACGAGAACGUUGUUGUAAGUUUAGAAAAGUUGUUGUAAGAAAACGAGUCCACACAAGUUGCAGUGGCACGAUUGAAACUCAUCAUUGAGUCAGUCAUCUCAUUGGAUCCCCGCCCUGAUCCCCGUAUCAUCGUCAG
rnacentral:lncRNA from 1 species